rnacentral:pre_miRNA from 1 species
GUCCGAGUGCGACUGUGAUGUUAUGUCAUGUUUGCAAUAUCACAGUCCUGCUUUGGUGACGG